AUUGAACGCUGGCGGCAUGCUCUACACAUGCAAGUCGAACGGUAACAGGCCGCAAGGUGCUGACGAGUGGCGAACGGGUGAGUAAUGCAUCGGAACGUGCCCAGUCGUGGGGGAUAACUACUCGAAAGAGUAGCUAAUACCGCAUACGAUCUACGGAUGAAAGCGGGGGACCGUAAGGCCUCGCGCGAUUGGAGCGGCCGAUGUCAGAUUAGGUAGUUGGUGGGGUAAAGGCUCACCAAGCCAACGAUCUGUAGCUGGUCUGAGAGGACGACCAGCCACACUGGGACUGAGACACGGCCCAGACUCCUACGGGAGGCAGCAGUGGGGAAUUUUGGACGAUGGGCGCAAGCCUGAUCCAGCAAUGCCGCGUGCAGGAAGAAGGCCUUCGGGUUGUAAACUGCUUUUGUACGGAACGAAACGGCUCUGGUUAAUACCCGGGGCUAAUGACGGUACCGUAAGAAUAAGCACCGGCUAACUACGUG
rnacentral:rRNA from 1 species